rnacentral:rRNA from 1 species
UACGAAGGGGGCUAGCGUUGUUCGGAUUUACUGGGCGUAAAGCGCACGUAGGCGGAUCUUUAAGUCAGAGGUGAAAUCCCAAGGCUCAACCUUGGAACUGCCUUUGAUACUGGGGAUCUUGAGUCCGGGAGAGGUGAGUGGAACUGCGAGUGUAAGAGGUGAAAUUCGUAGAUAUUCGCAAGAACACCAGUGGCGAAGGCGGCUCACUGGCCCGGUACUGA